GACAAGGGGCUGCUCUGAGACUUGUUUUCUGGCAAAUUACAAUUUACAACCAUCAAGACAAGUAAGAAAUUAAAUAGGCUGAAUAAUAAACAGCCAUAUAGAACAAAGGAAGAGAUUACACUCCUUUUUAAGUUUGAAGUUGGAACUUGCUCAGAAGUCACCGUUAGCAGUAUUGGUACUCGAGGCAUUGCCUACAGAGACAUAAAUAGCUAGCAAUACCAUACCAAACUUAAAUUACAUCAACAUAAGCAAACUCACAAACCAGCCAACAGUACAAGAGUAUCAAGAAGGUGAGAGAUGCCGAGUUGAGUAACGCUAAUAAACCAAAAGACAAACGCCAUGAGGUACACGAUGGUAUCUGUAUCUACGUAUAUAUUAAAUAUAAGAUCAGAUGGUGAAUGCAAAGUGAUAUAUUACUGCACCACCGAGCGGGGAGUGCGCGGCCGGACAGGAGUCUUCGAUGGGCUUACUCUUAUAGGGAGUGAUCCCAGGAUUGCACCACUGCAGUUCAGUGCAGCAAUGGCACUCUCGGCCAUAACAAACUCAACAAAACCUAUGCGAGUAGAAUGAUGAUAGUCACCAAGCAACCUCAAGCGCUUAACCUCUCCACAGAAGUACUCAAAAAAGAGCUUGACAUCUGCUUGAGUAACCUUUUUAUCAAUGUUGGUACAGUAUAUAGUUCUUGCACACAUCUCCCUUUCAUCUUCAGACCUUGGAAGAAAAGUUGGAUUAACUGGUGCAAUAGCAGUUUUAGAGGGAAGCACUUUCACAGGGUAGUAUCCUAGCAUAGUUCCUGCAAGACUCAGAGCACUCCUUGCGCCUUCUUCAUCAGUAAACUCAAUAAAUGCAAAACGGAGUACAGAAUUGGGAUCUCCACAGAUACGACAGUCAACCACCUGCCCGCAGGUAAGAAAGAGUGUAGCAAGUUGCUCUUCAGUCACCUGGUGAUCAAUGUCAGACACAUAAACUGUCCUCCUAAUAACCUCUUCACGUUGGGCCAUGCUUGUCCGGACAUUCAUCCUUCUCCUACCAAGACCAUAGCCAUUUCUCUUCCUUCUGUUGAAAGUUCCAUCGCCUUGUCCAGUUUGCAUUGCAUAACUGAAAGGAUCAAACCCAAAUUGUUCUCCACCAGGAGAGAUUGGCACUACUGCGUAGUUGGUGGAGAGUGAGGGAGGCACAAACUCUUCAGCCAUGGGGUUCAAUUUGGAAAGCAUUUCCUCCAAAUCCUUCAUCUCUCUGUUAAACCCUUCCCCACCAUGAACCUCAUCACCCACACCUCCAUUUCUACUCAAAUCAACACCGUUCAUUAUCUGAUGCUGAUGUUGAAAAUUAUGGUGACCCAUCACUCCAUUGCCUUUGAUGCUUUGCUUCUGCUGUUGAAAAACACCCAUUUGCGCCUUAUGCUGCACACUCGUUUUCUGGGGUUGCUGCUGUUGUAGAUGAUUAACAGACAUCAUCAUCUGAAUAUUCUGAUCAUUAGGUAUCGUUGACCGUGUCUCACCGUUCUGAUUCGACUGAUGAUCAACGGCACCGGAAUCAUGCUUUACAACACUAUCAUCCGUCCGAUUCAACGAACCAUUCUCAUCCACGGCCAUGACUGUUCCUUCAGUAACAACUAUGUCUCACAGUACCCAAGACUGCUCCUUUUUCUCCUUCUUCUUUAACCCUUUUUCCCAAUUUCGGGUUCUGCUGGUCUAAGCGGUGGACUCCAUUAAUCAAAGAAGAAAAUCCAAACUCAAAGAUGGUGAGCUGGGAAAAUGGAAAUAGAACAAAAUUUUCUUUAUCUUUGUAGUGAUGACGCGAGAGAGAUGAAUUUAGCUCAUAGAGAAAACAGACGAG
rnacentral:misc_RNA from 1 species